rnacentral:rRNA from 1 species
ACGCUCGACACCUACAGGAGGCAGCAGUGGGGAAUAUUGCACAAUGGGGGAAACCCUGAUGCAGCGACGCCGCGUGGAGGAAGAAGGUCUUCGGAUUGUAAACUCCUGUUGUUGGGGAAAAAGAGGAUGGUACCCAACAAGGAAGUGACGGCUAACUACGUGCCGNNCGCGGAGUAUGNGCGGCGNGNGAGAG